CAGGUACAUCGGCUGUUGUAAAAACUGUUGCCAUGUAUGAAGAAUCUUUGGUGAACUUAUGUGGGCAUCUUGAACCUGUUGCGAAAUCUGCGAUUUCACAUGAAUUCAUACUAGAGUGACUGAAUUUCGCCAUCGAAAAUUCGUCAAACAACCGCACCUAAACUUUAGGCAUGUUUGAGAAAAUGAUGGAUUGUAGUCGUAAACUCUUGCCAGUAACUGCAUUUUUAACCUUCAAAUUACUGCAAAUUGGGGUCAGAUAGCUUACAUUAUGGCUUCCCUGGAGUCUUUACAAACAAGGUGUUGAGUCGUGACCAACCUUUUAUUUGUUCAGACAAAUCCUCUCCGAUCAUUUGAAUAAUUGUGAUGGUGUGGUGUUGACAACGAUUGAGGGCCGUGCCCUCUUGUGCCUGCUAAACUGGUAUCAGUUUGUUGAUUAAAUGCUGGCUCAGUUCAGCAGGAACAGGAGUGAAGCCCUAGUGCCACUGCCGCACUCUCCUCCAAUCAGAAUGCAGCGUGCUUUAUCCUCCAAUCAGCAUGCAGUGUCCACCACUCCGUCUGAUCAGCACAAAAUGUGCUUCUCUUUUUCUCAGCUACAUAAACAUCUGACAUCAGUGAAUAUAAAACAUGUUUUCAAGAGAACUGACCUUGGUGAAAUAUGAAUGGUUAACCAUUAGAGGUCAAGCAAUUGAGGAUAAUGAUUUUUUUGCAUACUUAUGAAAGCCAUAUCCAUGUUUUUAGUGCUGCUCUCAGCACAUGCAUGGCCAAGGGAACGCACAGUGUUAAGAUCUAAAGAUGUACGUUCAACUGGUUUUACCUCAUGCUUGAGAAACGCCUGCAGUGAGUCUCUCUGUGUUAAAGAUAGUUCAAAUGAAUUACGACAGGAGACUUAUUUUAGGUGGUGCUGUCAUAUUCAUUCAUGCAUAUAAAAAAUGGAAGACUUCAGGUUGAUCAUAAAUCUACCUCAGUCUGUUAACUUUCUGCUGGCUACCUACGCUUUUUCGUUUUUUUGCAAGAAAGAGGAAAGAUUACAGCUGGACAAAUGUCAGGUUUAUUGAUUGGAUAUCACUUCUAUGUUCAUAUAUUAUUAUAAAAUAGUAUUUUCAUAGAAUUCAGCAUGCUGCUAUUAGAUUGCUAGGGUGUUCAUAAUAGUUUUUAACGUUGCGGUUUGGUCGCAUGCUUUUUAGAUUGGUGCCAUGUAGUUGCUAGAGCACAUUGCUAUGUAGAUGCUAGCAUGCAAAAAACUACUUAAUCAAAAAAAAUAUUAUAAUUAGUUAUAUCGCAUAUCUGAGGGACAGCUUCUGUACUGCAGGUCUCGCGGCCUGACUUGAACUGCUCUCCUCGCUCUGCAGCAUUGACAGCUACUUGGAAAGAUUUGUGCUGCUCAGAAACAAUUAUAGGCCAUAAAUGCAUCAGUGGGAAGGAGCUGCGGGGAUGAAAGCGGAAAGCCUCCUAUUUUAGUUUCACAGCGAUGUCGGAGUCCUUUUAUCAUGUGCUCAGAGACUGACCAGAUUUCGUGACGUGGCCUCCUUUAGUUAUUUGAUAUUGUUUUUGCUCCCUGCGCCACCAUGUAGUCAGUUUGUUUGCGGUCCAGACCAGAGUUGUGUGCUUUAUAAUUGGUUUAACUUGAACAAGACCAGCUGUGCAAUAAAGCAGCAAAGCCACGUAAAGAAACCCACGGUACCGGGCGGUUUCUGGAUCACAAUCCAGAGCAUCUGUGCUGAAAGUAAGAGUUUGUCACAUAUUUAUUAAAAUACAUUUAAAGACAUGUUGACACCACAUGAAUGUCUCUGAGGUCCUCAAGGCAUGCCACAGAUUAACUCUCUUCCAAUGUUUUCAUCUCCUCCAAUCAGCAUGCAGCAUGUUUUCCUCUCCUCUAAUCAGCAUGCAGCAUGUUUUCCUCUCCUCUAAUCAGCAUGCAGCAUGUUUUCCUCUCCUCCAAUCAGCAUACAGCAUGUUUGCCUCUCCUUCAAUCAGCAUGCAGCAUGUUUUCCUCUCCUUCAAUCAGCAUGCAGCAUGUUUUCCUCUCCUCCAAUCAGCAUGCAGCAUGUUUUCCUCUCCUCCAAUCAGCAUGCAGCAUGUUUUCCUCUCCUCCAAUCAGCAUGCAGCAUGUUUUUCUCUCCUCCAAUCGGCAUGCAAACACUACCUUGUUUUCUCAGGCAACGACUGGGUUCAUCUUAUCCUCAGCGAUCUUCUAACCAGCUACAAAUGUGCAGAAACCAAUGAGCUGCAUUCAUCCGAGGACCCUCUGAGAACUUCCCCAUUAUCUGUCUGCAGAACACCUGGAGGCGACGCGCUGUCUGCACGCAACCGCAGUUAACCCUUCAUGCCCUCUAUAUCCAUAUUUCCUUCAAGACAUCAUGCAGUCGUAAACUAAACUGUAAUCAUCUCAGGAACGAACGUGUUUGCGGUGCGUGACGGCUCUCUCUCAUAAGGCUCACACCACCAGUGAUAACUAUUUUAACAUCUGCAACUGACUAGUAAAGUAUUCCACAAAUUUCACAAAUAACUUAUGGACAUAAUUUGAAUAUAAGUCAAACUCUGAAGUGUGUUGCUGUUUGUGUCUCUUCUGAUGUCCUUCAUUGUUUUUUUCCAAUGUAUCCACACAGAAGAUUCUUCCAGAUUUGUAAAUGUUCAUCCAAUCUCAUUUAAAAAAAAAAAAAGACUUGAUUUUAAAUAUAUUCUUCGGGUUGUUUGAGUACUCAAAAGAGAAUAUUAAAUAAUUGGUUUCCUGCUAGCCAAAUCUUACAUACAUAGACAAAAAGUCUGGCUCUAAACCUCGCUUUUCUUUAUUCAAAGUUGAUGUAGACAAUUAUAGGGAAACUAUUUUAAACUCUGUUCAUCUUAAUGCAGUGAAAACAGCACCUCUAUUUCCAUUCUAUGUGUUUUUAACCUGGCAACACAUCCCAUCCAAGAAAAAUAUAAUACAAAUCCUUGGUUAUUAUAGUUUAACCAUGGUAGUUAUGGUAAAGUGGUUAGGCCUAUGUAAAAAUAAAACCUUCUCAGGUGAUAUCAAUGGUGGGAUCUAUUUCAGAUGUGGCAAUAACAAUGAUUACAUACCCACAUAUUUACUUGUAAAUUAAAUUACAUUGAAUUUAUGCAUUUAGUAGACGCUUUUAUCCAAAGCGACUUACAGUGCAUUCAGGCUAUCAAUUUUUACCUAUCAAAAAAAAGAAAAAAAAAACUUGUUUGAUCAAAAUUAUUGCUAGGGACAAUUUAGUCAUCGCUGCAUCCCAUCUAACAAUUUUUGGUUUCCAAUAUGGUCUAGGAAUGUUAGUUUUUGUUUUUGCUUGUUAAAACAAUAACCUACAGGGAACGUUCCUAGAACGUUCUUAUUUGGUUUCAAAAUAAAAAUGGAACGCUAGGGGAACGUUCUGUGUUUGUUGGGAUAUUAGGGACAUGUCAUAGCGUCUCUACUGAACACUACACCCUUGAAAGCGAGGCUGGGAUAAAUAUGCAAAGCACAUAGACGGUGUUAUUUUCACAAAUCACAAUUUUUUUGUGUGUGUGUGUGUUUGUGUGUCAUUUAUUGUGAUUGUUGUGUUUGUGAUUUGAAUAAAAAUCAAUUGAACGCA